GAGCCGAGCUGUCUCCAGAGGCUGCGUCACCGAUAAUUAGCGAUCAAUCAUGAAUUAGUUUAAAAGCUUGAAAAGAACACGGAGAGCAUUAUUAGAUUGUAAAGAUUCACUGUUUUUCGAUAAUCACUUCGUUUUUUAGAAGACUUCCCUGCCCUCAGCCAUCUAUUCAUUAGUCUUUUCUGCCCUACUACCACAUCAAGAGAACAUCUGUGCGGACAGUUUCACCCAUAGUGCCUACCAGAGCCACAAUGGCGUCCUGGGGCAGAGUAGAAACUGAUCAAUGUCAGGCAGCUGUGCUUUGCCAGUGCUUCAGAAGGGACCCAUGAAAAGGUACCAGAUAUUGAGAAGAGCUGUGCUGCCACUGGAAAUACUGA